rnacentral:rRNA from 1 species
UACGUAGGUGGCAAGCGUUGUCCGGAUUUACUGGGCGUAAAGAGCGCGCAGGCGGUCGGUCAAGUCGAGUGUGAAAGCCCCCGGCUCAACUGGGGAGGGUCACUCGAUACUGAUCGACUCGAAGGCAGGAGAGGGAAGUGGAAUUCCCGGUGUAGUGGUGAAAUGCGUAGAUAUCGGGAGGAACACCAAUGGCGAAGGCGACUUCCUGGCCUGUUCUUGACGCUGAGGCGCGAAAGCUAGGGGAGCAAACGGGG